rnacentral:rRNA from 1 species
AAUCAACGCUGGCGGCGUGCCUCAGACAUGCAAGUCGAACGCGAAAGUUCCCUUCGGGGGAGUGAGUAGAGUGGCGCACGGGUGAGUAACACGUAGGUAAUCUACCUUCGGAGUGGGAAGUAACAACCGGAAACGGUUGCUAAUACCGCAUAAUGCAGCGGCACCUAAUGGUGACAGUUGUUAAAGACGGGGAGUCAAAGACCUCGCGUCUGAAGAGGAGCCUG